UACGAAGGGUGCAAACGUUGCUCGGAAUUAUUGGGCGUAAAGCGCACGUAGGCGGCUUUGCAAGUCGGAUGUGAAAGCCCUCGGCUCAACCGAGGAAGUGCAUCCGAAACUGCAGAGCUUGAGUACGAAAGAGGAUCGCGGAAUUCCCGGUGUAGAGGUGAAAUUCGUAGAUAUCGGGAGGAACAUCAGUGGCGAAGGCGGGGAUCUGGGUCGAUACUGACGCUGAGGUGCGAAAGCGUGGGGAGCAAACAGG
rnacentral:rRNA from 1 species